CAGCCGACCCGUGGCAUCUGUCUCCAUCCAGACGCUGGCAGUGAGCGCCCAAGAGGCUCCUGCUGUGCCCGUCUCGAGGCCAUUGCUCUUCCCGUCUACCCCGCAGCUGCUGUCGGGGCUGUGUUUGGCCUCACCACCUGCAUCAGUGCCCAGGUCCGUGAGAAGCCCGACGACCCCCUGAACUACUUCCUCGGUGGCUGCGCCGGAGGCCUGACUCUGGGAGCACGCACGCACAACUACGGGAUCGGCGCCGCCGCCUGUGUGUACUUGGGCAUAGCGGCCUCCCUGGUCAAGAUGGGCCAGCUGGAGGGCUGGGAGGUGUUUGUAAAACCCAAGGUGUGAGCCCUGUGCCUGCCGGGACCUCCAGCCUGCAGAAUGCGUCCAGAAAUAAAUUCUGUGUCUA
rnacentral:sRNA from 1 species